AUGAGGUUUGACACUUUGGAAGGCGCCAAAGAGCACUACAAUGCAUAUGCCUUGCAGAUUGGUUUUUCAAUCAAAAUUAAUACUUCAAGGAAGGCUGUGAAAACUGGAGUGUUGAUAAAACAACAGUUUGUUUGCAACAAGUUUCGAAAGCCUAAAGCCGAUGACGGAGGGGCAGAAAAGAUUCCUGUGCUAGAUGAAAUCGUUGAGUAA
rnacentral:rRNA from 1 species